AGAGCGCUCGCGAGAGUGAAUUCAGAGGUGGGUUCGACAGGGCAUCUAGCAACCAGGCCGAUGGGGUUAGCUAGAGUGAAUUCCGAUGUGGGUGCUACACGGUAUAUGGAACCAAGGCCAUAUAGUAGGCAACUGAGUGUUGCAGUUGAAAACAAUCCCAGUGUUGCUGAAUUUGUGGAGAAAGAGAAAAGGACUCCCAAGGCUAAUCAGUAUUACNUGAGUGUUGCAGUUGAAAACAAUCCCAGUGUUGCUGAAUUUGUGGAGAAAGAGAAAAGGACUCCCAAGGCUAAUCAGUAUUACAGGAAUUCGGAGUUUCUUCUGGGGAAGGAUAGACUGCCUUCUGAAAGCAAUAAGAGAUUAAAGAC
rnacentral:lncRNA from 1 species